rnacentral:pre_miRNA from 1 species
GGGAGCGCAGGAUCCUGGGCUGUGUCCCCUGGCGCCCUGGGAUCCGGGGCCUGUGCUGCUGGAAUCGCACUCUCGGGGUGCAGCUCCA